AAUGAUCACUAGUUGGCAUAUCAUUUUAGGGUAUGGCCUUUAAAUAGAAAACUACAACCCAGGUAAGUGACAUAUGAUAAACAUAACUGUGACCUUGUGAAAGAAACUGGCUUUCAUUACAUUGUAUACAGCUUUACAUAUAGGUUAACAACUAUAUAUACAUAUCUACCCCUCCCCCUGCAUACCAAGUUAGGACAGCUGCACAAGGGGAGGAACAGCACAUUCAAACACACACUUCAAAACCAAAACACAUGUGAACACACUGCUUUGCUCAAGCGUUUUUCAUACUCACUCUCAGGGUCUACACACUCACACUCAGGUCACAAACAUAAACACUGAUCUCAGAAUCAGUUCAGUCACACAGAUAAUUCUGCACUGCAUGUUAUGACUGCCUGACAGCACAAGUUCAAGCUCUCGUUCUACAGCAGCCUCUGCUCUCCUGCUAGUUGUUAACUACAACUCUUCUGCUCUUGGGAUCCAUGAGGCUGAAAUAAGGCUGUCUAUGGGAAGAAGCACAUGAACAUCUGCAGAAAUCAAUUGAAACAAACACCUGCUAAGAAGAGAAGGUGUCCAGCUUCUGAAACAAGUGAUAGCUGAAAAUCCAAGAGUUGUACUUGUAGAACGAGGAUGAUAAUUCGCCUUGGACGUCUCACCCCUGGAUACUUCCGUCUAUUGCAGUUGCAGGUGUCUGGAGAGUUGGCAUCAGAGCCCAAGGACCGACUAGUAAACCAUAUGGCUUUUCUCUUAGCCCUAAUGGGCCUUGGGCUAUCCUAUUACAGCGUCCGGCAAAUGGUCCAGAAGUCGAGCAUAUCACAGUCUAAUGCAUAUCCGAGGGUCUGAACCUGUGACCUUGGCAAAAUCUAUGAAGCUUCACAUAAAUGGCUGAACAAUAGAUAUAGAGGGCAGGGAAAAUGUAAUAAACGAAGUAUAAGUAGAGAUUGCUAGUUAAAUGGGUUAAAAAAGACUAGGGAUGCUUUGAUAGCACGGUCUGUUCUACAUAUAGCCUGGUGUGCAAGAACAGACAGUCAAAGUGGUGGGAGAAAGAGUUGCAGUACCCAACUCUUGCAGCUUAAUAUAAAAUGUAAUCUAAUAACACUACUGUUUAAAUAAGAGGAAGAGUUUGAGCAGAGGCAACAUCUCUACUUCAGAAGAAUGCAUGGUGUUUUUUUAUGUGAAAGAUGGGAGCAUUCUACAAAUCUUUUACUUUGUAAACUGAAAACAAAUCCAUCUACUAGACCCAAACAUAGCAUUGGGGGUUUAUUUAUGAACUACCUCUUAAAGACUGCACAUGAAUGGAGAACAGGUCACUAGAAAAAAAAAACAUUUUAAUAGCAAU